rnacentral:rRNA from 1 species
UGGGGAAUAUUGCACAAUGGGCGCAAGCCUGAUGCAGCCAUGCCGCGUGUAUGAAGAAGGCCUUCGGGUUGUAAAGUACUUUCAGUCGGGAGGAAGGUGGUAAGGUUAAUAACCUUAUCAAUUGACGUUACCGACAGAAGAAGCACCGGCUAACUCCGUGCCAGCAGCCGCGGUAAUACGGAGGGUGCAAGCGUUAAUCGGAAUUACUGGGCGUAAAGCGCACGCAGGCGGUUGAUUGAGUCAGAUGUGAAAUCCCCGGGCUUAACCCGGGAAUUGCAUCUGAUACUGGUCAGCUAGAGUCGUGUAGAGGGGGGUAGGAUUCCAUGUGUAGCGGUGAAAAGCGUAGAGAUGUGGAGGAAUACCGGUGGCGAAGGCGGCCCCCUGGACAAAGACUGACGCUCAGGUGCGAAAGCGUGGGGAGCAAACAGG